UUGUUCUUCAACGUUCAAAAAUCAAUUUAGGAUUCUGUGGGAACGGUCAAAAUAUAAUCGAUUGUAUGAAAGUGACAAUCGAUUGUUGAUAAUCGAUUGUAUGACAAGACAAUCGAUUAUUUUGAUGUUUAAAAACUUCGGUUGCACACUGUCUCAAAAUAAUCGAUUGUGAAAAGUAGACAAUCGAUUGUUUGCUAUUUUGAAAAACUUCAGAUCACACUGUCUUAAUACAAUCGAUUGUAGGAUUCAAAUAAUCGAUUGUCGAGGCCCAGAUUUAAAAGACAUGUUUAAAACCUUCAACAUCAUUUUGUUUUAAC
rnacentral:lncRNA from 1 species